UCUGUGAUGCCCUUAGAUGUUCUGGGCUGCACGCGUGCUACACUGAUGCAUACAACAAGUUCCUAGCCCGAGAGGGUGUGGCAAUCUCGAAUAUGCAUCGUGAUGGGGAUAGAUCUUUGCAAUUAUAGAUCUUGAACGAGGAAUUCCUAGUAAAUGUAAGUCAUCAUCUUACAUUGAUUAUGUCCCUGCCCUUUGUACACACCGC
rnacentral:rRNA from 1 species